rfam:Exophiala oligosperma strain CBS 72588 unplaced genomic scaffold supercont1.3, whole genome shotgun sequence.
UCUCAUGAUGAUUUUUUUUGAAAAUAUACGCUGGAAAUUACCGGCUGAGGCUUUCGAGCCGUAGAAGAUAUCAAAUGGCUAUUCCUGAUC